UUUUCAUGAAAGAGAAUCCUUACUUUAUGUGGGAUUUGGUUGUUAGGGGCCUAGGGGGUGUGGGGGCUGUUGAUUCCCAAAACUCAAGCUGGAGUUAUUGUAAACUGCACCAACAGUGUAUUUAGGUUAGCUGGGGCAGAAAAGAAUAGGCACUGGAUCUUUUGUCCCCAUAUUUACUGCCCCCUCUCCCACAUAGUUUCUAUAGAGAUAAACACUCUUUCACAUCCUCUUAACCCGGAUAACUAACCGGGAAUGUUAUUUUUUUAUAGAGAUAAACGCUCUUUCACAUCUUCUUAACCCGGAUAACUAACUCGGGAAUGUUUGUUUUUUCCUUAGGAUACUUCAAGAACUGAUCCAGUGGAGACGGGGUGGAACUUGUAGCCUUGAGGACUAGAGCAUGUGGUUUACGAACCUUCACUCCACUCCGGAGGUAGGAAAAUCAUGCACUCCCGUCCAAACGUUCUUGCCUUUCGAGAUUCUCAUCAUAUCUUGUGAUUAUGAAUACAAUGAUGAGGGGAGACACGGACAUUUGCCGACAGACUAUCCUAAAAAAUGGUGGUUUAAGCAAGAACUUAGAUAGACAUUUUAGGUCUUUACUCUAGAUAUACACACUCUGGAAGUUAGUGUCACAGCAAUGGAAUCUCUCUAGAUAGGAAUCUGUAGCCAUUUGAGUUGCUGUUUAACUGUGAAAUUUUAUGACUUUUAUGGAUAUAUAUGGACAGUGAUGACAAUGACAUUUUAUUAGACUGGCACUGGGGGAAGACAUCAUUAUUGAAGGGGGGAUCAAAAGAAAAGUGAAAAGACUCUUCCUUAUAUGGGGAUCAAGAGCAGCUGACAGCUGAUCCAAACAAGACAUUCCCUCAGCAAGUGAUGCCGUAGAGGUCCAUCUUUUCCAUAGCUUGAUAUAUACUCUUGGUUUUCUAGGCUUGGACAGUAUUUAUUUUUGCAAUUUCCCUUAAAGGUUCUGUUUGCUUACUUUUGGAGUGUUUUAAGCCUGUUUCCAUCUUUUGAUCUAGUUUCCCAUUGCAGUAUUCAAAAACUAAUCUUGGGGAGCAAACUUACUCAUCAGUAUUCUGUAGGUAAGCAGUUUUCAAUGGUAAUCGUUUGCAAGAUUUCGGUUUAUUGUUCAACAAAAACUUGUUUGGUGGGUAUUUAUCGAACCAUGAUUUCGGGUGAUUUUCAGGAAAUAACCCUUUGGCUAAAAGACUAGUGCUUGUCCAACUGGCGUAUGUGUUUUCAAAAGCAAGUUUCUUAAAAGUGUUGUAUAAAACCGUGAUUAAUUCUUGACCGAACUUUCUUUUAGCACGAAUAAUUUUCCGUGGAGUUGUAUUGUUCUUAAAAAGUGCCUCGAUUGCAACGCAUCGAUAACUGAUAACCGAACAAGUUUUCUGCAUUUUCUGAAAAACUCAUGAAAACUGUAAUAGGAAACAGCAACAAAAUCUGAGAGACACUUGUGUUUUAUGAUGCAACUGGUCGAGCUGUAAUGAGGAACUGAAGGGUAGUGGAAAUAAUACAAUUUAAUUUGCUAUGGCAUGUUCCAUUUUCACCAAAGAAAAUCGAGGAAGUGAGCUUGUUCUGUAAUGGGCAAGGCUGGAAAGCAGCAGGGGAUUGGUGGAAAGGAUUCUGUCUUAUUGUGCAGGGCUGAAGGAUGUACUGGAUGUAGAAGGGCACAUGCCACGGGAAGAGAGAGAGAGAGAGAGAGA